rnacentral:rRNA from 1 species
UACAGAGGUCCCAAGCGUUUGUUCGGAUUCAUUGGGCGUAAAGGGUGUGUAGGUGGCGCCGUAAGUCGGGUGUGAAAUUUCGGAGCUUAACUCCGAAACUGCAUUCGAUACUGCGGUGCUUGAGGACUGGAGAGGAGACUGGAAUUCAUGGUGUAGCAGUGAAAUGCGUAGAGAUCAUGAGGAAGACCAGUGGCGAAGGCGGGUCUCUGGACAGUUCCUGACACUGAGGCACGAAGGCCAGGGGAGCAAACGGG